AGAGUUUGAUCAUGGCUCAGAUUGAACGCUGGCGGCAGGCCUAACACAUGCAAGUCGAACGGUAACAGGAAGCAGCUUGCUGCUUCGCUGACGAGUGGCGGACGGGUGAGUAAUGUCUGGGAAGCUGCCUGAUGGAGGGGGAUAACUACUGGAAACGGUAGCUAAUACCGCAUAAUGUCGCAAGACCAAAGAGGGGGACCUUCGGGCCUCUUGCCAUCGGAUGUGCCCAGAUGGGAUUAGCUUGUUGGUGGGGUAACGGCUCACCAAGGCGACGAUCCCUAGCUGGUCUGAGAGGAUGACCAGCCACACUGGAACUGAGACACGGUCCAGACUCCUACGGGAGGCAGCAGUGGGGAAUAUUGCACAAUGGGCGCAAGCCUGAUGCAGCCAUGCCGCGUGUAUGAAGAAGGCCUUCGGGUUGUAAAGUACUUUCAGCGGGGAGGAAGGGAGUAAAGUUAAUACCUUUGCUCAUUGACGUUACCCGCAGAAGAAGCACCGGCUAACUCCGUGCCAGCAGCCGCGGUAAUACGGAGGGUGCAAGCGUUAAUCGGAAUUACUGGGCGUAAAGCGCACGCAGGCGGUUUGUUAAGUCAGAUGUGAAAUCCCCGGGCUCAACCUGGGAACUGCAUCUGAUACUGGCAAGCUUGAGUCUCGUAGAGGGGGGUAGAAUUCCAGGUGUAGCGGUGAAAUGCGUAGAGAUCUGGAGGAAUACCGGUGGCGAAGGCGGCCCCCUGGACGAAGACUGACGCUCAGGUGCGAAAGCGUGGGGAGCAAACAGGAUUAGAUACCCUGGUAGUCCACGCCGUAAACGAUGUCGACUUGGAGGUUGUGCCCUUGAGGCGUGGCUUCCGGAGCUAACGCGUUAAGUCGACCGCCUGGGGAGUACGGCCGCAAGGUUAAAACUCAAAUGAAUUGACGGGGGCCCGCACAAGCGGUGGAGCAUGUGGUUUAAUUCGAUGCAACGCGAAGAACCUUACCUGGUCUUGACAUCCACGGAAGUUUUCAGAGAUGAGAAUGUGCCUUCGGGAACCGUGAGACAGGUGCUGCAUGGCUGUCGUCAGCUCGUGUUGUGAAAUGUUGGGUUAAGUCCCGCAACGAGCGCAACCCUUAUCCUUUGUUGCCAGCGGUCCGGCCGGGAACUCAAAGGAGACUGCCAGUGAUAAACUGGAGGAAGGUGGGGAUGACGUCAAGUCAUCAUGGCCCUUACGACCAGGGCUACACACGUGCUACAAUGGCGCAUACAAAGAGAAGCGACCUCGCGAGAGCAAGCGGACCUCAUAAAGUGCGUCGUAGUCCGGAUUGGAGUCUGCAACUCGACUCCAUGAAGUCGGAAUCGCUAGUAAUCGUGGAUCAGAAUGCCACGGUGAAUACGUUCCCGGGCCUUGUACACACCGCCCGUCACACCAUGGAGUGGGUUGCAAAAGAAGUAGGUAGCUUAACCUUCGGGAGGGCGCUUACCACUUUGUGAUUCAUGACUGGGGUGAAGUCGGAACAAGGUAACCGUAGGGGAACCUGCGGUUG
rnacentral:rRNA from 1 species